GGUAAUGCAGAGCUAACCAAUUCAUGCACCAAAGAAUGGCAGGGCAUGGGGGAGGGAGGCUGCCAUGUCUCUAGAGAAGCCUUGAACAUCCACCAUUUCUUUCACUUGAGCCUCUCUUCACCCUGGCAUGCACUGUGGCUUCCAUCCCUUGAGCUGAGGAAGGCUGGAUGGGAUUCUCUUUGGCGCUCCUCCAUGUGGCUCCUGAUUCAGCCAGAGAGGUGCUUGUUGUUCAGUGAUGUGAUGCUCCCUCCCCCAGGGGUUGAAUCACACUGCCUCGUCAGCACUACCAACUCCUGCCACCCUGAGGAGCAAGAGACCACACUAGGAAUCAAUACUCAGAUUUUGCUCUUAAAAUUCCAAAAUGCAGACAUGUUCUUGUGACUUAUGAAGACUUCUUCAGUAUGACAAAUAAGAAACCAAUAAGUGAUCUGUGUAUGUUUUCUUAUAACCUUCAAAUAACCAUGUAUUUUAUUGUAUUGCCUAAUCUAAUAAACCAUUAUGUUUUGUAGGGAUAUUUUA